rnacentral:rRNA from 1 species
CCUACGGGAGGCAGCAGUGAGGAAUAUUGGUCAAUGGACGCAAGUCUGAACCAGCCAUGCCGCGUGCAGGAAGACGGCUCUAUGAGUUGUAAACUGCUUUUGUACGAGGGUAAACGCAGAUACGCGUAUCUGUCUGAAAGUAUCGUACGAAUAAGGAUCGGCUAACUCCGUGCCAGUAGCCGCGGUAAUACGGAGGAUUCAAGCGUUAUCCGGAUUUAUUGGGUUUAAAGGGUGCGUAGGCGGUCGGAUAAGUUAGAGGUGAAAUCCCGAGGCUCAACUUCGGAAGUGCCUCUGAUACUGUUGGGCUAGAGAGUAGUUGCGGUAGGCGGAAUGUAUGGUGUAGCGGUGAAAUGCUUAGAGAUCAUACAGAACACCGAUUGCGAAGGCAGCUUACCAAGCUACGUCUGACGUUGAGGCACGAAAGCGUGGGGAGCAAACAGGAUUAGAUACCCCAGUAGUC